rnacentral:rRNA from 1 species
UACGUAGGGGGCAAGCGUUGUCCGGAUUUAUUGGGCGUAAAGAGCGUGUAGGCGGCUUGGUAGGUCUUGCGUCAAAACCUGAGGCUCAACCUCAGUUCGCGUGGGAAACCAUCUAGCUAGAGUCCGGAAGAGGAGAACGGAAUUCCCAGUGUAGCGGUGAAAUGCGCAGAUAUUGGGAAGAACACCAGUGGCGAAGGCGGUUCUCUGGGGCGGUACUGACGCUGAGACGCGAAAGCGUGGGGAGCGAACAGG